rnacentral:rRNA from 1 species
GAUGAACGCUGGCGGCGUGCCUAAUACAUGCAAGUCGAGCGAACAGACGAGGAGCUUGCUCCUCUGACGUUAGCGGCGGACGGGUGAGUAACACGUGGAUAACCUACCUAUAAGACUGGGAUAACUUCGGGAAACCGGAGCUAAUACCGGAUAAUAUAUUGAACCGCAUGGUUCAAUAGUGAAAGACGGUUUUGCUGUCACUUAUAGAUGGAUCCGCGCCGCAUUAGCUAGUUGGUAAGGUAACGGCUUACCAAGGCAACGAUGCGUAGCCGACCUGAGAGGGUGAUCGGCCACACUGGAACUGAGACACGGUCCAGACUCCUACGGGAGGCAGCAGUAGGGAGUCUUCCGCAAUGGGCGAAAGCCUGACGGAGCAACGCCGCGUGAGUGAUGAAGGUCUUCGGAUCGUAAAACUCUGUUAUUAGGGAAGAACAAAUGUGUAAGUAACUAUGCACGUCUUGACGGUACCUAAUCAGAAAGCCACGGCUAACUACGUG